CGCGGCGCGCGCCGCUUAGGUUAGUUUCGUUGGAGCGCGUCGAUCGCUGCACCUCCAGAGGCGGGAUUAUUUCCUUAAAUUUGGCCGGACGACUUAUAUUUUUCAGAUUUGCAUCAUCGUAUUUUUUUAUAUUCGUUCGGUAAUUAUUAGUACCGCAAUUAAAGUGUUUGGUACCUUCUAGUUAUUCUAUAAUCGAAUUCCUAAUACUUGUACGCACAAUAAUUUGUGCGUUUGUACAGUGUCAGUGAGACGCUAGUCUAAGUUCUCAUGGCUAUCACACGCGCACAUAUGGAAAAAAGAGUCUUCCGAAGAAAACUAUUCUUGAUUCAAGAAAUAAAGGCACGAUGGUUUGUUUGAAAUCUUGAAAAUCAUCGUCCGAAAGACUCAGGAGUUUAUGCUUAAACGAAUUCGGAGCCCGUAAAAGAUUAUUCGACAAAGAGACAAGAAAGCCAGAAACUCGACUAAAAAAGCAGGUUUGAAGGAAGCGUCGCCGGGAGGCACGGCCGUGUGCGCGAGGGAACAGAGACUGUUCGGGCCCAACUCACACAAUUCUCACAGAUGUCUGGAUUUAAUCACGCAGACGUUCGUGCCUGCGUCUCUCUUCCUCGCGAGCGAGGGGAGCAGCGAGGAGACGCGAAUUUGAGGAAACUUUGAUGCGUGCCGUUUGAUGUGUGCUCCCCGAGGCGGGCUGGAUUUGGCCACAAAGUGGAAUGUAAUCGGUUAAAGGACGAGUGUCCUUACCGAUGCAACGGCACGUGAAUUCCCGUCCGACGUGGCAAUUCGCCCAUGGCUCGUUGAAGUUUACUCUCGCCGCAUCAAAGUACGAAUUCAGUAAAGUUGAUACUUUUGAUCCUCGCCCAUUUAAAACUGCGGAGAGCAUCGACCGAUCGAGGCAACGGAGUUUCAACGUCGACCCGACACUGUGCCUCUCGAUAAAAAAACCUUUUUUCCUCCGCUCCCUUUAUUCAGGAGGCUUAAAAAACCGAGUUUCAUGAAAAUUUCACCCGAUUCGUCGGCCCGAUCGUUUUCAUCGAAAGUCUCACGGAGGGACGCGCAGCUACUUUGAGACUCCGAUGUAUACAUACGUGGAGCGAUGAUUGGACGACGAGGAUGCGGAAGCAGCCUUUGCACAGUGAUUGGAAAGUGUCGAACGCUCUACGCCAGAGGUAUUUGGGAGGACCGAAUUUGUAACGCAAAUACGACACGAGACUGUUCCAGUCGCCCUCCGUGCUCGAAUCACCGCGGACCUGCUACAUCUCGAAUGAACUCUUGGCUGUUGCUACAGCACCCUCCCUCAUGCUGAUCGAUUUUUUCGCUCGAAGCAGAUCGUUGAAAGGCUCAUUUGAGAUUCGGGGCUCUCGAGGAUAUCGCCAACUAGUGGAAUCAGGAGAAGUCUGACUGUAUCCGCGAGCAGCAUGCACGAAGCUUCGUAACUCAUUUCGGUUGGGCUGCGUGUACGAAGAACCGGACGGGAUCGUUGUUCCGGGCCGGGGCGAUGGUUUCGUUGAUCUUAUGGCUUCGCUUCGUCGGACGAUCUUACGCUACCAUUACAACAACGUAUGAAACCUUUCGAGCCCGGUUCGUUGCCGGUCGAGCCUCAACCCCAGCGAAAAAUAUCGCCUGCUCAGGUCCGAAUUUUCGUUCAGCAAGAUCGCGUUACUUGUCAAUCAAAAAAGCGGCUCAACUUUGUUUUUUUGCUCUUCACGAUCAAAGAAACGGCUCAAAUUCGUUCUCGUAAUUGGUAAAAUUAUGUGUAACGUAUUCGUUGAGAUUGAUCAAUUUUUAAGAUGAUGGAUCAGUCGGUAAUCACACCUCGAAUUUUUGAAA
rnacentral:lncRNA from 1 species